UACGUAGGGUGCAAGCGUUGUCCGGAAUUAUUGGGCGUAAAGAGCUCGUAGGCGGCCAACUAAGUCAGACGUGAAAUCCCUCGGCUUAACCGGGGAACUGCGUCUGAUACUGGAUGGCUUGAGGUUGGGAGAGGGAUGCGGAAUUCCAGGUGUAGCGGUGAAAUGCGUAGAUAUCUGGAGGAACACCGGUGGCGAAGGCGGCAUCCUGGACCAAUUCUGACGCUGAGGAGCGAAAGCCAGGGGAGCAAAGCGGG
rnacentral:rRNA from 1 species